UGAAAAUGUAAAUGUAAGUCGCUCUGGAUAAGAGUGUGUGCUAAAUGACUAAAC
rfam:Salmo salar isolate Sally breed double haploid chromosome ssa22, whole genome shotgun sequence.